AGGCGGAAGCUCGUUGGUUGGAGCGCCUAGCUGUUAACUAGGAUUUUGUGGGAUCGAAGCCCAUCUGUCUAG
rnacentral:tRNA from 1 species